UAACGGCCUACCAUGGCACCGAUGGGUAGCUGGUUUGAAAGAGCGACCAGCAACACUGGUGCUGAAAAACGGCCAAUACUCCUACGGGCGGCAGUGGUGAGGAAUUUUCCGCAGUGGCCGCAGCAUGACGGAACGCCGCCUCUUGUGGGAAGAAGGCCUUCUCGUCGUAAACUACUGUCGAAGGGGACGAUGAUGACGGUACUGUUGGAGGAAGCGGCUGCUAACUACGUGCCAGCAGCCGCGGUACGACGUAGGGGGCAGUCGUUAUUCGUCAUCAUUGGUCGUAAAGCGCUCGUCGGCUGAUCAGACAGUCGAUGAAGAAAGACCUGUGCUCUACUCAGGCAACGGCACUGCUACUGUUGUUCUUGAGGCAAUCAGAGGGUGAUGGUAUUCCCGGUGUAGCGGUGAAAUG
rnacentral:rRNA from 1 species